rnacentral:lncRNA from 1 species
GCUGAAGCCUACUGAGACAAAUUUUCUUUCUUCCUCUAGAUGAGGGCCAAGAAGAGCUCUUGACAUCUAUUGGAGAAUGUCAUGUCAGACCACCAUUUCUCUAAGGUUUCACAAGUAACAUCAUCAUCAUCAUCAUCAUCAUCAUCAUCAAUAAUGGUUAAUGAAAACAUACUAACUAAUGAAAGCUUUUUUUGUGACUAUGCAGCACUUUCAUUUACAGCAGAUAAAAACAAAC